rnacentral:rRNA from 1 species
CAGCACCUCAAGUGGUCAGGAUGAUUAUUGGGCCUAAAGCAUCCGUAGCCUGUUCUGUAAGUUUCCGGUUAAAUCCAUUAGCUCAACUAAUGGGCUGCCGAAAAUACUGCAAAACUAGGGAGUGGGAGAGGUAGACGGUACUCGGUAGGAAGGGGUAAAAUCCUUUGAUCUAUUGAUGACCACCUGUGGCGAAGGCGGUCUACCAGAACACGUUCGACGGUGAGGGAUGAAAGCUGGGGGAGCAAACCGGAUUAGAUACCCGAGUAGUCC